rnacentral:rRNA from 1 species
AGGUGGGGAUGACGUCAAAUCAUCAUGCCCCUUAUGUCCAGGGCUACACACGUGCUACAAUGGUAGGUACAAUAAGACGCAAGACCGUGAGGUGGAGCAAAACUUAUAAAACCUAUCUCAGUUCGGAUUGUAGGCUGCAACUCGCCUACAUGAAGCUGGAGUUGCUAGUAAUCGCGAAUCAGAAUGUCGCGGUGAAUACGUUCCCGGGCCUUGUACACACCGCCCGUCACACCAUGAGAGCUGGUAACACCCGAAGUCCGUGAGGUAACCGUAAGGAGCCAGCGGCCGAAGGUGGGAUUAGUGAUUGGGGUGAAGUCGUAACAAGGUAGCCGUAGGAGAACCUGCGGCUGGAUCACCUCCUUUCUAAGGAGA